AAAAAUCGGACAUCCUUGUACCACGACACCUGGCAACACUGGCAUGCAGCAUUUGUUACGCCCAUGACAGCAUAUUGUUUAACGUAAAAUUGCUUAGUCUAGUGUUAUAAAACUUUAAGACUGCAAAACCUUUGAUGAAGUAUUCUAGACACGCAUGGUUCCUGCAGAAGUUUGCCUUCGGUAUUGUCUUCAUUAACAGCCAUCGACCCAAGUUCCAUCAAGGGAGCGGUGUCAUUAAAAAGUGAAUCUUGAUUACCUAGGAAAAAUGUUGCCACUUGCCUUCCAAGAACCCAUUGUGUAAGGUCCCAAUUGUCUGCUUUCAUGUGAGUUAGUCCUGUGCGUUUUCUUAUCUAGGUUCCUUGACGGCUGUUCUGUGAUCAUGAGCUGCUGACAUGACGUUGGUUUACCAUAAAAAAAGCUUCAGGCAAGAUCUGGAAAAAGACAAGAAUGCGAAACGCUGCUUUCUUUGGCACGAUUAUGGAACAACUUAACACAGAUGAGGAGCUGCUGACCAGGAAGAGAGGAGCGAGCUGCAACCUGGCCUAGGAAGACAUUUGACUAAUAGGUUUUGCAUAGAACUAUAGUGAUCAGCACCCUGCCAAGUCUAAUAAUAAAUCAAUUUAAGGUUGAUGCUGCAACAUAAGGCUUGUACUGAAUUUUACUGAAAUAUACAGAUCUUGAUAGAAUCACAUACACAGGAAAUGUGAAUGACUGGGUGCUGGGCAAUUAUUUAUCUUGGAGCACUGUCUAGUAGUCCAGUCAACAAUGGGUGGUAUGGAGUGUCGCUUGAGAAUUGGCUACCCAGCUGUAGUAGCUGUGUUGUUUGUGACAGUAUGUGUUGAAAAGUCAACUGGCAUAAGAUUACAGUCUGGAGCUGUAUGCCACAAGGAGCUACAGAAACUGCAGUUUGAAGUACAUUUCACGUGAAGACUGUUUGAAGGAUGCAAAAAAAUAAGUGCUGAUCUGCAAGCAGAGUUCAGGACCUGGAGUGGCUGGAACUACCAUGAAAUUCUUUAAGGAAAAUCAUUCGUAGUCUGGACAUCUUGGAGUCUUUGUCUUCCCUAGACUUAGGCCUGGAUCCUUAAAUUCUUAGGCCUAGUUUGUAGCUCAAGCAUUGGAGUCUAAAACGCCUGACAGAACUUGUAAAAACUGUAACAUCACUUUAGCUUUCCAGUCUCUGCAGCUAAACAGAAUCUGUAGUUUGAAAUGGACUUUAAUGUUGAUUA